rnacentral:rRNA from 1 species
ACGGGAGGCAGCAGUGGGGAAUAUUGCACAAUGGGCGCAAGCCUGCUGCAGCGAUGCCGCGUGAGGGAAGAAGGUUUUCGGCUUGUAAACCUCUGUCAUCGGGGACGAUAAUGACUGUACCCGAGAAGGAAGCUCCGGCUAACUACGUACACGCAGCCGCGGUAAUACGUAGGGAGCGAGCGUUAUCCGGAAUUACUGGGUGUCAAGGGAGUGUCGGCGGGGCUGUAAGUCAGAUGUGAAAUAUGCCGGCUCAACUGGCAGACUGCAUUUGAAACUGCGGUUCUUGAGUGAAGUAGAGGUAAGCGGAAUUCCUAGUGUAGCGGUGAAAUGCGUAGAUAUUAGGAGGAACAUCAGUGGCGAAGGCGGCUUACUGGGCUUUAACUGACGCUGAGGCUCGAAAGCGUGGGGAGCAAACAGGAUUAGAUACCCUGGUA